rnacentral:misc_RNA from 1 species
CCGGUAACAGAACCAGGAACUUGCAAUCUCGGACAGCAACCCUUCAUGGCGGCUGCUAGAAACAUCUUGCAGAUGAGGCGAGUGGUCUCUUUCCUUGUACAUAAUCGCAAUAAUCCCUGCAUCUUUCCCAUUAAUGGAGGUUAGCUCUCUCUCUCUGCCUCGCUAUGCUCAUGAGCUUGGAGGUUAGUUCAUAAUUUUGUAGAUUCUUUUAUCUUUUUUAAGUUUAAUAGUGAAGAAGGGAAUAUGGGUCUUUUAGCGAUUCAAAUAAUUUGAUGAAACUCUUGCAAAUUGAGUGAUUUUCCUCAGCCUUGAAUUUGUAGGGCUAUAACGUAGGAAAAUUAGAAUAUGUAGUUAUGCUGCGUUUGGCUGCUCGAAUUUUCAGCUAUUUUAUGAUUUUCUUCAAAUUCAAAUUUUUCAACUUUUAGGAUGUCUCUCCAACUUGGUAGUUUUUGACAUUUUAUAUAGCAGGAUAUGAUGGUUGAAUUGGAAAACGUGAAUUCGUAAUGCAUAUGCAAGAAUUAUACACUGUCAAGCUAUGAAAGAAAACUGGUUUCCGCUAGUUGUACACUAUCUAGCUAUUUCUUUCAUAAGUUCCCUAGAGUAUUUUGCCAAUUUAGACUAUCCAUCAUCUUGGAAAUGACUAGAUUUUGAAUUCUCUGAAGCUCUUUUGAAAUGGAGGUAGCAUUCUUGGUUUGGUGUGUGCUGCUCUGAAGUUCAUUUUGACCUAGGCUAAGUUUGCUUGUUAUUGGGCUUUGGUUACCCCGAGGUUAACACAGAUUGUAGGGUCCAUCAUAUUGAGAUUUCUUUGAGAUCAACUCAGUUUAUCAUGUAAUCAACCCAAUUCAGCUUGAGUCCCAAUCUGUUUGGGGUCAGCUAUGCUUCUGCAAUAAGAAAAUUAUUUGUAUUCUACAUUUUAUUUCUGCCACUUUGUGGUUUAAAUAAGUUCCAUGUUUACUCAUCUGCUCUGGCCUCUAUUUAUGAUUUGUCACAUUAGGGUUGAUUUGAAGUUUUUGUCAAACAAGCUUUUAUUCCAUAGUGUUGCUGAUGUUUGUCCAUUUAUUAAAGACAUGAUUAAGUUUGGAGUCUUUAAAUUUAGAAAAAGAAAGUUCAAAUUUAAAUUUGGUGAAGUUUUAAGUGAUUGUGUUAAAAUUUUGAGUUGUCAUAUGGGCAGAAUGCUGGUAUGUUGAUAUUUAGCUAUAUGCUGAUUGUUUGACCAGCACACACCCUCAUUGCUUUUAUUCAAUUGUGGGAAGAACCUCUCCAUUGAAAACUGCACAAGUAUUGAAACUUCAAACUUCCUUAAAUUUAGUAAUAUUAAUACAUAUUAAUCACCCUUUACUAUGAAACUUUGAAACUACAUCAUGAUGUUGGCACUGAUAUUUGAACACUUAAUAGCAAAUAUGAGUGUUUCAUAAAAGACUAGCACCAUUCACUCAAUUGAGGUACUAGGUGUUUGUGGGAUACUGGGACUGCAUAUGUAUGGAUUUGGUAGAUGCUGGUUUUCAAAGAUCCUUGGACAGCAAUAGCAAAAAAGAAUUAUAGAAAUGCACCUUUUAUUUGUUUAAUGUACUCAAUCCUCUCUCCCUCUUUCUGUGCAUGCAUACAAGUGACUUGAGUGCUUCUGAGUUUUGGCCUUUAUGGUAUUUGUAACUCUUACAUUGGAAAAAAUUGAAUAUUUGAUUUGAAAUACCAGUGCUCUUACGGUGUGUUUUAGACAUUUGUUUUGAUAAAUAAAAUUCUUGGUGGCAGAACCAGCCUGGCAACUUCUUCCUUCUGCAAGAUCAAUAUUCACUAGAGAUGAUUUUUAUAGAAGGUUUCAGACGCAAACAAAUCCAGCUAGUCAGCUUAAUGAGGAUUCAGAAAACGAUGAAACUGGUUGUCUCAAGCCCAUUCAUGACUCAGCAACUGCUCCUUCCCAAACAAACAGUAGCGAUAAUUCUGCUGUCGAGUACUCCACUGUAUCAAACUUGAGAACAUCACCAAGGCAUGAUCUUGCAAUGAUAUUUACCUGUAAGGUAUGCGAGACAAGAUCAGUCAAGACAGUUUGUCGCGAAUCAUAUGAGAAAGGUGUGGUGGUGGCACGUUGUGGUGGCUGUAAUAACUUACAUCUGAUUGCCGAUCGCCUUGGGUGGUUUGGAGAACCAGGAAGCAUUGAGGACUUCCUGGCUGCUCGUGGGGAGGAAGUGAAAAAAGGUUCUGUGGAUACACUGAAUUUAACGCUUGAAGAUUUAGCAGGAAACAAAAUUUUGAAAGAGUAGGAAUUUCAGCUGCCAAGGAUCAGUAUUUGAGAGAAUUAAUGUGGUGAAUUGUAUAAGAAUGGCAUAUUUGUUGACCUAAUUCUCAUUGCAAAUUGGAAUCUCGUAUACUUUUCAUGUGGCUUGAAAAUGAAAUUACAAAGUGCUCUGCUUGGCUGUUUGGUUUCUAAUUCAGAAAUUAGCUCAGCAGGCAUCAAUUGAAGCCCUGGAGGCUUCCAUGAACAAUGCAGAAGAUAUAAUAUCCUUAAAUGCUGCUAAAAGAAAUGCACUUCUUUCAUUAGAAUUCCUAAAUAAGGGUGAUCAAGAUCCUGAAUUCCCUUGUACUUUAAUCCUCCUGUUCUUAAAU